AUUGAACACUGGCGGCAGGCCUAACACAUGCAAGUCGAGCGGCAGCGACUUAACUGAACCUUCGGGGAACGUUAAGGGCGGCGAGCGGCGGACGGGUGAGUAAUGCCUGGGAAUAUGCCCUGAUGUGGGGGAUAACUAUUGGAAACGAUAGCUAAUACCGCAUAAUCUCUUCGGAGCAAAGAGGGGGACCUUCGGGCCUCUCGCGUCAGGAUUAGCCCAGGUGGGAUUAGCUUGUUGGUGAGGUAAUGGCUCACCAAGGCAACGAUCCCUAGCUGGUCUGAGAGGAUGAUCAGCCACACUGGAACUGAGACACGGUCCAGACUCCUACGGGAGGCAGCAGUGGGGAAUAUUGCACAAUGGGGGAAACCCUGAUGCAGCCAUGCCGCGUGUGUGAAGAAGGCCUUCGGGUUGUAAAGCACUUUCAGUAGGGAGGAAGGUAGUGUAGUUAACACCUGCAUUAUUUGACGUUACCUACAGAAGAAGCACCGGCUAACUCCGUGCCAGCAGCCGCGGUAAUACGGAGGGUGCGAGCGUUAAUCGGAAUUACUGGGCGUAAAGCGCAUGCAGGCGGCCUGUUAAGUCAGAUGUGAAAGCCCGGGGCUUAACCUCGGAAUUGCAUUUGAAACUGGCAGGCUAGAGUCUUGUAGAGGGGGGUAGAAUUUCAGGUGUAGCGGUGAAAUGCGUAGAGAUCUGAAGGAAUACCAGUGGCGAAGGCGGCCCCCUGGACAAAGACUGACGCUCAGAUGCGAAAGCGUGGGGAGCAACAGG
rnacentral:rRNA from 1 species